CACCUGGUAGCUCAGUGGUUAGAGCGCUGGCUUCCCAAGCCAGAGGACCGGGUUCGAUUCCCCGGCCGGGGGA
rnacentral:tRNA from 1 species